AGAGUUUGAUCCUGGCUCAGGAUGAACGCUGGCGGCGUGCUUAACACAUGCAAGUCGAACGGAGUUUUACUUAUUGAAGAAUAUAGCUUGCUAUUGACUGAUAUUUGUAAAACUUAGUGGCGGACGGGUGAGUAACGCGUGGGUAACCUGCCGUAUACAGGGGGACAACAGUUGGAAACGACUGCUAAUACCGCAUAAGCGCACAGUAUCGCAUGAUACAGUGUGAAAAACUCCGGUGGUAUACGAUGGACCCGCGUCUGAUUAGCUAGUUGGUGAGGUAACGGCCCACCAAGGCGACGAUCAGUAGCCGGCCUGAGAGGGUGAACGGCCACAUUGGGACUGAGACACGGCCCAAACUCCUACGGGAGGCAGCAGUGGGGGAUAUUGCACAAUGGGCGCAAGCCUGAUGCAGCGACGCCGCGUGUGGGAAGACGGUUUUCGGAUUGUAAACCACUGUCUUCGGGGACGAUAAUGACGGUACCCGAGGAGGAAGCUCCGGCUAACUACGUGCCAGCAGCCGCGGUAAUACGUAGGGAGCGAGCGUUGUCCGGAAUUACUGGGUGUAAAGGGAGCGUAGGCGGGAAGACAAGUUGAAUGUUAAAUCUACCGGCUCAACCGGUAGCUGCGUUCAAAACUGUUUUUCUUGAGUGAAGUAGAGGUAGGCGGAAUUCCUAGUGUAGCGGUGAAAUGCGUAGAUAUUAGGAGGAACACCAGUGGCGAAGGCGACUUGCUGGGCCAUCACUGACGGUCAGGGACGAAAGCGUGGGGAGCAAAUAGGAUUAGAUACCCUGGUAGUCCACGCUGUAAACGAUGAAUACUAGGUGUGGGGGGACUGACCCCUUCCGUGCCGCAGUUAACACAAUAAGUAUUCCACCUGGGGAGUACGAUCGCAAGAUUGAAACUCAAAGGAAUUGACGGGGGCCCGCACAAGCAGUGGAUUAUGUGGUUUAAUUCGACGCAACGCGAAGAACCUUACCGAGGUUUGACAUCCCACUAACGAAGUAGAGAUACAUUAGGUGCCCUUCGGGGAAAGUGGAGACAGGUGGUGCAUGGUUGUCGUCAGCUCGUGUCGUGAGAUGUUGGGUUAAGUCCCGCAACGAGCGCAACCCCUAUUGUUAGUUGCUACGCAAGAGCACUCUAGCGAGACUGCCGUUGACAAAACGGAGGAAGGCGGGGACGACGUCAAAUCAUCAUGCCCCUUACGCCUCGGGCUACACACGUAAUACAAUGGCGGCCAACAGAGGGAAGCAAAGCGGCGACGCGGAGCAAAUCCCUAAAAGCCGUCCCAGUUCGGAUUGUAGUCUGCAACUCGACUACAUGAAGUUGGAAUUGCUAGUAAUCGCGGAUCAGCAUGCCGCGGUGAAUACGUUCCCGGGCCUUGCACACACCGCCCGUCA
rnacentral:rRNA from 1 species